rnacentral:rRNA from 1 species
AGUCGAGGAUCUUCGGCAAUGGGGGCAACCCUGACCGAGCGAUGCCGCGUGGGCGACGAAGGCCUUCGGGUUGUAAAGCCCUGUCGAGGGGGAGAAAGGGGAAACCCGGAUCCAUCCCUGGAGGAAGCUCGGGCUAAGUUCGUGCCAGCAGCCGCGGUAAGACGAACCGAGCGAACGUUGUUCGGAAUCACUGGGCUUAAAGGGCGCGUAGGCGGGCUGCCGCGUCCGGGGUGAAAUCCCACGGCUCAACCGUGGAACGGCCCCGGGUACGGGCGGCCUCGAGGGGGGUAGGGGCGUGCGGAACUGUGGGUGGAGCGGUGAAAUGCGUUGAUAUCCACAGGAACUCCGGUGGCGAAGGCGGCACGCUGGACCCUCUCUGACGCUGAGGCGCGAAAGCCAGGGGAGCGAA